CUGCCCUCGAGGAGCUUACGUUUCAACGGGGAGGCAGCACGCACGCUACAUUCCUUUCAAAGUUCCCAUCAUAAAGUAUGACACAAGAGACCUCUUUCCCAGCUUGGUGGGAAACAAACCCUUGGUCAUCACUCUUCGAAAAAGAGAUCCAGGAACCAGAGAUAAUCUGUGGGAAUUGCAGCCUCUCCACCUCCUUGGAAGAAUUGAGUGGCACUGGUUCAGUGGCCUUCUGGGUUACAUAUACUCCCUGCAACCCCUCGUCUCUGUGGAAUUGGGUGAAGCCCUUUGAAUAAAGUGUUAAACUAUUUGAAGAACAGUCACAUUUAAUUGCCUAAAAAUAAUUAUAG
rnacentral:lncRNA from 1 species